CAUGGCCAGCUUCAUCUCAUACUUGACCUGAAGUCAUUAGCAGCAAGACAGAUAUUGUCAAUCUGCACAACGAUAUGGGCACUGUCCACAGAAUUUGCAAAGGUGUGAGCCCUCAGAUCCUCGAUGGUCUUGAAAGAAUGCCCCCGGUCUCUGACUGGGGUCCCUUCUUCUCCAGGUGUUCCUGGACUUUGCACUCCAGUCCCUGGUCACCAGCCUCGAGGCACCUCAUCCUCUCCAGGUGCUACAAAAGGAUUGGUGCAGCAAGGACAAUCGAUUCCCUGGGUCAAGGUAGUGGUGUUUAUGUUCUUCCUGGAUGUGCAGCAAUUGCUGACGAUGCUGGGCUGGCACCGAGGAUCCUGCUCAUUCUUUGAUUGUUCCUCCCACUGGUCGACUUGAAUGGCCCAAAAGGCCACAUGACCCAGCUGGAUGCACAACCCCCAAGCUCCUGGAUCCUGAAGUCCCUGACACUCUGAACCACAAUGUUCCAAGUGGGUGAUCUUAUUUACCUUGGCAACGCAUGUUCUUGGCAACAGAAGCAGAGUGGUAUGGGUUGAUGCAUAAACACAAGAAGUUUAAGAAGGAAAAAAAGGCUUAUACCUUAAUUGGAAUUAGCAAGUAGAAUUAACCAGAAGAAAAAAAUGCAAAGCCAGGAGAAAGAAUGUCUGCAAUCAUGUGAGAGGAACAUGCCAACAAAGAUUUUUGUUCAUAUGAGAGAAUGAUUAAUAGAUGACCAAAGGCUUUUAAAACCAAGUAUAACCCUGGCCAGGGUUGAGGCUCAAUUGGUUGGAGUGUUGUCCUGUGCACCAAAAGGUUGUGGAUUGGAUCCCCCGUCAGGGCACAUGUCUAGCCUGCGGGUUUCAUCCCUAGUCUGGGUGUGUAUGAUCGAUGUUUCUCUCGCUCUCCUUUCCUGUCUCUCUAAAAUCAAUAAACAUAUCCUCAGGUGAGGAUUUAAAAAGAUAUCAAGUACAGACGCUUAUUUGCCAGUUUGCUAGACGUAAAUACUAAACAUGGCAUCUGCCAGGGACAGCUUUUUUAGGUAUGAGGGAGGUCUUAAAGUUGUAUGGAACUUUUCGCCUUCACUAAUUUGCUUAAACAUGUUUCUUUACUUAGUAUUUUUUCCUCUCCACUGCAAGAGUUUGACCCUUGUUCAUUUGGUGGUGAGUCAAUGAUGAACUAAGAGAGUGUGAAGGGAUGUUCCCUCCUUUGAGGACUUAGAGAUGCCAAGAGAUGGAAAACAUUCUGAUCAGAAAAAGCCCGUGAGAUCACUGGGCCCACACCUGUGCUAGGUCCUGUUGGUGCUGAUCCCUUUCACCCAAAAUGCAUUGAGGAGUAUGUUCUGAACUAGGCAUUUGAGAUCAUAGGAUUGUGACUAUUUUUAACUGUGAUGCUCACAGGAAAGAACUCCAGUUUAAUGAUCUCCUUUAUGGAGUUUCAACCUAGGUUUCACUGUGAUUUACACCAGUGCCACUCUUAAGUGUCACUCUCUGAUGGCACGAGAGGCUUGGUCCAGAAAGUAAUCAAUAUACUACUUCUUUCAUAAAGAAAGUCGGGCUUUAAAAAACCGGUCAGUGGAAGCACAGUGUGCUUAGGGAGGUGGCUGACAGUGUGGCGCAAGCUCCUUCUCCUGGUGCAGAAUGUCAAACUUGCAGCCCAAUGUCUGUCUGCAGACUGACGUCUGUCCUCAGAAGACACUUUGAGAAGCAUCGACAGGCAUGCUACUGUCACUCAGGCCUUCCUUCCAAUCUCUAGUUAUUAAUCCAUCUUAAUUUUGAACAAAAUGAAUUCUGAAGCCAGUACGGACUUACAGAAAAGUUUCAAGAAUAGAACCAAGUAUAUAGAACUGUAUAGUUUUCGCCUACACCCUUUUUAAGUUUUAGCUCAGAUGGGCUUGCUAGCAAAGACUUCAAGUCUCAGUCAUGUGAUCCAGUCUCUCUAGAAUGAGUUUAGUGCCCUUGACUUUUAUACAGAUUACAUUUUGUAGAAUGACCCUCACCUUGGGUUUGUCCUGUGCCUCCUCGUGGUGAGCCCCAGGCUACGCACUUUGAGUGAAAUGCCACCAAAGUGAUUUUGUGUUCUCACCGCAACCUAUCGAGUGGCUCCUGAUAUCACUUUGUCCCAAUAGCAACUUCGAUCACUUGAUUAAGACGGUGUCUCCCCCAUUUCUCUACUAUAAAGUUACUUUUUUCUGUUGUAAUUAAUAUGUAUCAUGGAUAUCGCAUUACUCAUUCCACUUUUACUAACUGGUUUUAGCGCCCAUUGAUGUUUCUUGACUGAAUUUAUUAUGAUGAUGUGUGUUUGCCUGAAGGUAAUUUUCUAAUUGGCUCAUUUCUUACACAUUUGUAGUUGGCAUUCUAUAGCAAAGAGAAAAUUUUUCAUUUCCAAUUUUUAAAUUCAUUUGUUCAUAAAGAAAUGAAUUAUUACUCAUUAUAAUCUAGUACUCAGUGGGUUACAAUCCAUUAUUGUCACUAAUUAUUUUGACGCUCAAAUUGACCCAGAUUUUGACAGUAGGAUCCCUGUGAAAGUGGCUUCUGUGAACUUUUGACACGUGCCCACCGUUCUGGGAGCAUUUCCUCCACGACAGGCUGUUCACAUGGCUCAUCGUGUGCUUUCCCGGCCUGAGUCAGCCGGCUCCCUAAGAAGCCUUGUCUCCUUUUUGUGGAGAGUGAAGUUAGAAGCCAAGAUCUACGUGCUAAGAGUGUGCCCUUUGCUACUGGAACGUUACCUUCCCCAGGGCUUCUCAGAGCUAGAAAGUAGGUUUAUUUUUAUCCCUGCAUAUCACAUACACAGGUAUGUACGGGUACGUGGGUACCUUUACAUCUACCUUCUGUCUAUUUCUCGGGGCCCCCUUAUCCUCAGUAUGUCCAUCUGCUCAGCGCCCUGCCGGGAGCCAUCCCCCAACUACGAGAGGCUUCCCCUUUGCUCUGCCCUGACAUUAUCCUUGCAAAGGUCGUCAUUGCUACCUGUCAGCAGUUGCACCUGCCAUCUUGCUCCAGAGUCAUCCUUGCUCCAGCCCUGUUACCGCCCCCCCCUUGUGCCUUCCCAGUGACUGUCAGACUGAAUGAGGAGGGUGAGAGAGGAUGCCAAACUUUUGUUUCCUACUUAAAGAAACAGUAAGCAAAGGCUGAAUCGGGAUUAUCAGCCACGGUUGCUCCUUUGCUCGCUGAUACACCUUUGGGAUUUAACCUAUCAGACAGCCCAUCUACCAGUGUGGUUUGGAUAUGGACACUAAAGGGUCUUCUGUGUCCCUGAGUCUCCCCCAGGACCGUGAUUAUGGCCAGGAGGGUGGGAGAGGGAGGCACUGGUGUGUCCUGCAGUGCACAUGGGCCUGGCUGCAGCAGCAGGGAUACGGCCGUGAGCACUGCUUGCGCCACUGCGGACUCAGCAGAACACUCUUUAACUGGUCUACACAGGCAGCACGCCUGAUGAAAGAGGGAGCAAAAAGAAACGACUUUUCAUUGGUUCACGCCAAAAGGCUAUACUCUUUACUCUGUUGAAAUGAGCAUCAGAAACAGAGUGGUAUUUCCACAGUCAGAGAUGACUCUUACCUCAUUAUGAACUCAUAUUUCCUGUCACUUGGGCAACAAGUAUUUGCCAGCUCUGCCAAGUUGAUGGUAAACUCCUUGAGGGCAAGGGGCGGGAUAGGAGCCUUAGGUAAUCACCCACAGUGACUUGCAACUAGUGGCUGAUUAGUAAUUGAUUCCCCUUUCCUACUAGACCAUUAACAAUAACACCCAGUGAGGACUCGUGUCUCUUUCCCCACCGUGUUCUAGUCGCUUCCUUUGUCCACAUUUUUCACAGGACUGAAAGCUGUAACCUUCUGAACCGGUUAAAGGGGCAGCAGCAGAAGUCAAGCCCUUUUCUAUUUUACCUUCUCUCCCUCCAUUCCUCCCGGCCUCUCCCCUUGCCUCUGAUUUAAAACCUGGCAGAAGCUGAUGCAAGAAUGACCUUGAUUUAGAUAAAGGUUGCUGACCCUUGACCAAGCCACCUGAUCUUUUGGGUGGAAGGUCCAGUUGCUGAGUCAUUAUGACGUGCUGUGCACCCUCACCCUACCUGUGGCAGUUCAAGCCCAGCGGAGGGCCUGAUGCUGGCAGGUACAUCAGCAUUGUGGAGACACGUCGCCUACCAGAGAAUCCUGUGUGGCCACAAACGGCACCAGUGGCGCUGCCCUGUCUAUCUCCUCACCAAGGGUCAGCGACAGCGAGGGAGAGGAAUGAAGGCCAAAGCCUCCCGCGCUGCAGUGGGGCUCUGUCCCCGUGCUAGGCGAUGCUGAGGCCUCGACCCUGCCAGUCUCCCAGACGGCCGCUGCAGCCACAGGCCCCUUCGAUGGCUUCCUGCCAUCAACAACAGCCUGCUGUCCCUUCAGGCCCUCAGAUACCCCAAUUAUUUAAUGUCCACUUUCAUGCCAGUGUGCAGGGGUCUGUGUGUGUGUGUGUGUCCAAUGCUGUGUUUUUAAAAAUAUGUUUGAAUCAGCUGUCAGCUGUUUCAGAGAUUUACGUGUUUGAACCUCUGGGUGUCCGGCCCCCCCACUCCCUUGGGUCAGCGGUCCAUGUAUGUGCUGAGGAAGCCUUUGGGGGGGACGUGCCUGCUGUCUAUAAGGAUGCACGUGUUCACUCGCCCCUGGGAGUUACUUCUCUAUCACGAGGGUCUUCUUUCCAGAAUCAACCCGAGUCUCGGUUCUCUGAGACUGAUGCCAGUUUGGGGGCAGAGUCCUCAGAAAAAGCAAAAAAGACCUCAUGGUCCUCUGCAGCUUUGUCCCUGCCCGUGUAACUUCAGGAGACACACUCAGGCCCUACAUAUCCUUACCCGCUAAACGAGCUCCGCUGUCCCUUCCGGCCUGAACACUGAUGACUUCAGCAAGUGCACACUGUUGUCUGGAAUGCUGUUCAUUCCUGUGAGUUUACGAAGAAUGCAAAUAACGUACAUGGUACUUGCUCCAAGUUUAUAUUUAAAAACAUUUUAAAAAUGAACGUGCUGGUCAACUCUCCAAAGUGCUCAGGGCCUGACUAGAGCCCCUGGUUUCUCCUUCCUGCUGGAAACACUAAGGGCCCCUUCAGUCCAGCCGUUGACAGGGGAUGGCAGGGUCAAGGCCAGAACCCAAGCUCUCGGACUCCUGAUUCCACUGAGCAGUAGACCACACUGUUUCCCAGCCACCAGAGGAUUCACCUAAAACGAGUGUCUCUUACAGGUGUGGGCAGAAAAGCACCUAGCACAGCCUGGCACAUGGCAGAUCGCCAGUAAAUGCUCAGCCGGGUUGUUCAGAGAGCUGGAUGUUUGCGAUUCUGGGAACAAGGCUCGAAGAAAUGUUCUUUUCUUCACCCCAGCCAUUUCUGAGGUGUCUGUCUCACAAGUCGGAAUUAUAGGAGUAUAAAAACCAUUUUGAAUCUCAGCACAGACAUUCAUUCAAAAAAAGUGUUAUCUUCCCCCUUCCAAUUUCUAUGAAGUUUGAUAUUCUUGGGAAAGGCAAUUAUGUACGUAGCUUACUUUUUGCGUCUACUUGCUCGGGGUGCAGCUUUCGCGUGCUCCCCUCCCCCCCAGAACCACUGCUGCCCUUCUGGGGGUGGAGACUGACCCGGCAGCACUGUCUGGCUGCGGUGCCCCUCUGCCUCCACUCCCUCUUCUGAACUUGGAAAUAAAACGUCUCUGGAAAGCUUCUUCAGGGUGAAUGUCGGAUGACAGAUAAAAAAGGAGUCCUGUCGGGAGCUGGCUGGUUUUGCUGGUGACAGUGGGAUUAAGUGGUGAAAAGCUCUUAGUGGCAUUUACAGUGUUCCCACCUUUGAAUACACCAAACCAAAAAUACGCUUCAAGAACAAGCGAGAGGGUAGGAAGUGACAUGCAUGCCCUGGGAUCGUGAAACAUGGAUUCGGAACAUCACGCUAAGCGAAGCAGGCCAGACAGAAAAAAUGAAGAACCGUGUGAUGUCAAUCAUAUGUGGGAUUCAAAACUGAAAGCAAUGACUGAACAAACCAGAACAAACAAAAACUUGGGCACAGACAACACUGGGGUGGUGACCAGAGGGAAGGGGCAAUGGAGGGAGGUGAAGGGUACAGGGGUCCGUACAUGGUGGUGGGAGAAGAUCUGACUUUGGGUGGUGGGCACACAGUGCAACGUACAGAUCGUGUAUCAUGGAAAUGUACAUUUGAAACCUGUAUCAUCUUAUUAACCAAUGCCGCUUCAACAAAUUUAAAAAUAAAAUCACGUAUAGCUUGCAAAAAAUGGACUCAG